ensembl:lncRNA
UAUUUAGCAAAGAAAAAACAGUCGUUUCCUGUGAGGUCAUGUUUAAUUAUUAUUUUGUAUUUUUUUUAUCGAAGGAGUCUCCAGUGUCAGAGCUUUGUAACAACUCUAAGUUUAAGUUUUCUGCCAUGGGAAAGUCUUCAGGACAGAGAAGUUUGUGCUUUGCAGUUUCCCUGUAACGGGACAAGCUGGAUUUUUCAUCUUCUUAAGUUCAACAGAGUAAACAGUGAGGCUGGUGAGAUAACGGCUAUUUACAGCUGCUACAAUCAGGAGAAGUGGCUCUGUAACCACAGAAGACGGCAUCUGUGUGUGCACAGGACAGGAAAACCGAAGUAACGCGUGACGGGAUUCAGUGUGUUCAUGUUUGCUGUAGAGAGGAGCGUCCAUCUUGCCUCAAGACCGAGCGGCUCAGCAACGUUCAGACUCCCGCAACUCGGGUUCGGAUUCUUUAAGUAGAACAAAUUUCUGUUUCUGAAAUCAAAUCAGCAUAGAGCUUACUAACCACUCGAGUUGUAUUCGGCCAUCACCUGUCGGCUGCCUCUCAAACAAACAAACAAACAAGCAAAAAAUAAAACAGCAUUUAACAAUCAGUACAUAGCAUGGCAUUCAUACCAGAAUGUAAACAGUGGCUUAUUAAUGCUCUUUAUUUAUCUGCAUAAGCAUAACAUUGCAUUAGCUAGAGUACAAAGAGGCAGUACAUGGUUUGUUAGCUUGAACUGAUAGCGCAUCUGUGUGUUAAGUGGUAGCGUCGUGAGUGCUCGUUCGUUUCACGAUUCCUGACCUGUAUAUGACAGGACUGUAGUGUGUGUGUGUGUGCGUGUGCGUGCGCAAGUAUGUAUGUGCCUGUAUAUAUUUAGGUCAAUGUUCUCACGUCCUCUUUAGCAUGCAAGGCUAACAGGAGUGAAAAUGGCAUCAGGGAACCUUUGUUAUACCACAAAGGUAUCACAACGAGACCUUGUUAUGUCUGGAGCGCAAAAAGAGGAAGGUAAACUUGCUAGCCAUGAUACCAUAAAAGGUCAGUGUUUGUGUUUAAGUUUUAGAGCGUUAACACAACUGCACGUAGCAAGAGAGUGUGUAUUGCUGCUCAUGACCACAGCGAACUUGACUUGGAACGUCUCGUCUCAGUGUGUUCCUUAACCGUAUUGUUUAAAAGGAGAUACGUUGUACUUGAUCACUAUAACGUACUCUGCUUGGUCAUGGAGCAGCGUACUGUAUGUGCGGGUUAGCGUGUACAUGUUGAAGCCUCACUGUUGACCUCACUUCCUGCUUAGCGUGCACAGCCGAUGGCAGCGAAAAUAUAGGCUUGUUUAUCCGUUCUUGCUAGUCUCUGUAGUUACUCAUGCAAAGACUUCACCAAAAGGUGACAAUUAUAAUCAGGAACUGAGCAAAUGCAAUGAAGUUAAGCAAUUUUCAGAAGAAAAAAAAAAAAAAAGAGUCCUGGUGUUCGUCCUGGUGCAGUUUCAGCGAGGAUUUAAUAACGUGUCGAGUAGCUAAUAAAACGAGUCACCGGAUGAAUCGAGGUUAAAUUGUAAUACUUUAAUAAUGCUAUUAGUACAGGUACUAUAUUGAGCAAUAUACUGGCUUUUAGAAGCGUUGAUGAAGAGACAGUGAUCACUCCCUCUCUCUUUUUCAGUACUGCGAAUACACAGGGCCACAGUAGCGUAAAGCAGCUUGGUUUAUCAGCUCUUUAAGAAUUAAAUAUUAGCGCCUAAUAACUUUUAAUAUGAAAUGAAUUCAUGUGUGGAAGAAAGGGCCUCUCAUGCUGGCUGACCUUUGGGUUUGUUUUUUUUUUGUGUUUUUUUUUUGAAACACCGCAAUACACAAAAUUUCAACAGCAGAUUAACACGUGAUCUCGUUCAGUUGUAUGAAUCGAUGUCAUUUAAAACGCUUGACGACAUUAUUUUUUAUUGUACAUUCAUAGCCAUAGCUUUCGCUCAGACGUGAGCAAGCGUCGGCAGCGUAGCACAGACGGCGCAUGGCAUAAACAUUACAAUGCCUUAUUGCUCAUGUUUUAUCGGUUUAUUUGGCCGGCACAGAUGUUUUACACCAGUUCGUAAUCAAAUUGGGGUCUGACUAAAAACAGCGGUACCUCUGUUCCUCGUCAGGAUCGACGCACAGUAUGAUAGUGCUAAUAAGAUAAAGCUACUGACCUCAUACACAUCUAGAUCAAGGCCCCUCUAACUCUCCUGACCCAAAUUCAUAUUUUUU